CAGGUCCCCACCAGAUGGAUGCAGAGGCCACAGCUUGCCAUCGACUCCACCAGCUACCACAGUUGUGCUAGGUCUAAUCUUUACAACAAAUCUCUUGUUCUGUAUCACUCAGAGUGGCUCUACUUCUCUGAUCAAACCUGGAAGUGAAACAUCCUUCUUCCCUGGGUCCCCAGGAUACAGUGACCUUGGUCACAUGGCUGCCCCAGAGAAAUUUCUUCCUGGUGAUUGGGCAAAGUCACCAUCAAAGCAGGAAGAAACCCAGGAUUGGACAGGUGGCCUUCCCUGCUCCGCUUGAACUGAUUACGGUAGAGGCACAGGGUCAUUUGCAUGUGGAAGGUCCUACCUAUGACAAGAGCACACUCAGCAAUCAACGUACAAGCCCUUAUUUGUGUCUCACAAUGUUGGGCACAGGCAAGACAAAUAUGUGGAAGACCAACAUGUUUUUGUGUUCUUGGGCAGUUCAGAAUCUGAAGGUGAGGACAGAUGUUGAAGCUGAUCAUUUCAAUUCAGUAG
rnacentral:lncRNA from 1 species